GGAAUUUUGGACAAUGGGCGAAAGCCUGAUCCAGCAAUGCCGCGUGCAGGAGGAAGGCCUUCGGGUUGUAAACUGCUUUUGUACGGAACCAAAAGCUUGGGGUUAAUACCAUGGCGUCAUGACGGUACCGUCAGAAUAAGCACCGCAUAACUACGUGCCAGCCGCCGCGGUAAUUCGUAGGGUGAAAGCGUUAAUCGGCAUUACUGGGCGUAAAGCGUGCGCAGGCGGUUUGGUAACACAGAGGUGAAAUCCCCGGGCUCAACCUGGGAACUGCCUUUGUGACUGCAAGGCUAGAGUACGGCAGAGGGGGGGGGAAUUCCGCGUGUAGCAGUGAAAUGCGUAGAUAUGCGGAGGAACACCGAUGGCGAAGGCAACCCCCUGGGCCUGUACUGACGCUCAUGCACGAAAGCGUGGGGAGCAAACA
rnacentral:rRNA from 1 species